rnacentral:tRNA from 1 species
GGAGAGGUGGCUGAGUGGCUGAAGGCAGCGGAUUGCUAAUUCGUCGUACAGUUAAUUCUGUACCGGGGGUUCAAAUCCCCCCCUCUCCGCCA